GCCGAAGUGGUGGAACUGGUAGACACGCUAUCUUGAGGGGGUAGUGGGUGAUCACCCGUGCCGGUUCGAUUCCGGCCUUCGGCACCA
rnacentral:tRNA from 1 species